GGAAUUCGAUUAACGCGAAGAACCUUACCUGGGCUAGACAACGGCGGACCAUCCUAGAAAUAGGAUUUUCCCUUCGGGGACUGCCGGUUCAGGUGCUGCAUGGCUGUCGUCAGCUCGUGCCGUGAGGUGUUGGGUUAAGUCCCGCAACGAGCGCAACCCUUGCCUUUAGUUGCCACCAUUCAGUUGGGCACUCUAGGGGGACUGCCGGCGUUAAGCCGGAGGAAGGUGGGGACGACGUCAAGUCAUCAUGGCCCUUAUGUCCAGGGCCACACACGUGCUACAAUGGACGGUACAAAGGGUCGCAAACCCGCGAGGGGGAGCCAAUCCCAAAAAGCCGUUCUCAGUUCGGAUUGGAGUCUGCAACUCGACUCCAUGAAGCUGGAAUCGCUAGUAAUCGCGGAUCAGAACGCCGCGGUGAAUACGUUCCCGGGCCUUGUCACACCGAAUCACUA
rnacentral:rRNA from 1 species